rnacentral:rRNA from 1 species
GUGCCAGCAGCCGCGGUAAUACGUAGGGUGCGAGCGUUGUCCGGAAUUACUGGGCGUAAAGAGCUCGUAGGCGGUUUGUCGCGUCGUUCGUGAAAAUUCACAGCUUAACUGUGGACGUGCGGGCGAUACGGGCAGACUUGAGUGCUCCAGGGGAGACUGGAAUUCCUGGUGUAGCGGUGAAAUGCGCAGAUAUCAGGAGGAACACCGGUGGCGAAGGCGGGUCUCUGGGGAGUAACUGACGCUGAGGAGCGAAAGCGUGGGUAGCGAACAGGAUUAGAUACCCUGGUAGUCCACGCCGUAAACGGUGGGUACUAGGUGUGGGUUCCUUUUCACGGGAUCCGUGCCGUAGCUAACGCAUUAAGUACCCCGCCUGGGGAGUACGGCCGCAAGGCUAAAACUUAAAGGAAUUGACGG